rnacentral:snoRNA from 1 species
GUGCAAUGAAUGGUUUGGAUAAGUUUCGGCUGAUUCUGAUUGAUGCUAAUUUGAUUAUAUGCUGAGCAC